ensembl:lncRNA
GGAGGAGCACAACUAUCUUGCAAAGAAAUGCAGCCGCAAAAAAAAAAAAAAAUUUGGAUCUCAAUUUCACACUAGCUGUUCAAAACUUACGUCACACAAUACCCCCACUGUUUCUCUCCACUAGCAGGCACCCUACAUGUCAAAUACAUAACGGCCUAAAUCAAACUUUAGAUUAAGGAAAAGAAAUUGAAGACAAAGGAUGUCUGACCAUUUGAUUUAUUGAAUCAUUUGAGAGAACAAGGACAAAACAAAUGAGCAGGAGUCACUUUACAGUCGCCCCAUACACAGCCUAUAUUAACAUUAGGAGGCAAUCUUUUUCAAAGCCACAUGGAAGACAUAACCCACCUAAUUCUACUGUCCUCGGUCCUCAAUUUCGUGGGAAAGAUUUCCUAUCAGAUUCUGAAAAAUCCACAAAUUUAAGUGCGAAUGGGUCUUUUUCAUAAUGCAUAUAACUGGGUGGUUUAUAGUAUUGGGGUGGCUCUUUGGGAGGCUGGUUGGCAGAAGGUUUGCAUUCAGCUGCUGCAGUUGUAGUACAGGGUUGAGGAGUGGUGGUUAUAGGUGGUGCGGUAGGGGUUUUCUGAGGUUGCACUGGGUAUUGUGGAUAAAAUUGCUGCAAAUAAUCUGGGAAAUUUGGGUAAUGGCUAUGCUGAGGGAAUAGACUUCCAGGGUACACUGGGGGUUGCGGUUUCUGGUUUAUUGCUGGCGAAUCUGGUGGGAGAGGAGUGGGGAUGGCUGGAGCUGGUUUCACAGUAGUAUUUGGUUUGCCAUGAUAGUCACUGUAGUAAUAUGGCCACAUAUGGGGUUGCCUUGGAAACUGAGGUUUCUGGGUUGGCACUUGGCCAUCUGAUGGAGAUUGCCCUGCUGGCUUAGCUGUGGGAUAUGGCCACAUCAUAUGGGGGUACUUCGGAAACUGAGGUUUCUGGAUUGGCACUUGGCCAUCUGAUGGAGAUUGCCCUGCUGGCUUAGCGGUGGGAUAUGGCCACAUCAUAUGGGGGUGCUUUGGAAAUUGAGGCUUCUGGGUUGGCACUUGGCCAUCUGCUGGAGAUUGCCCUGCUGGCUUAUCUGUGGGAUAACCCUUGCCAGGAUAAUGGGAAUAUGGAUAUGGCCACAUCAUCUGGGGGUGCUUUGGAAACUGAGGUUUCUGGGUUGGCACUUGGCCAUCUGCUGGAGAUUGCCCUGCUGGCUUAGCUGUGGGAUAACCCUUGCCAGGAUAAUGGGAGUAGGGAUAUGGCCACAUCAUAGGGGGGUGCUUUGGAAACUGAGGUUUCUGGGUUGGCACUUGGGCAUCUGAUGGAGAUUGCCCUGCUGGCUCAGCUGUGGGAUAACCCUUGCCAGAAUAUUGGUAACGAGGGUAGUUGUAAGGCCAAAACCCUUGCUGAAACUCUUCAGGGUAGCCGUAAAAUGGCGGUUUGAGAGCUGCAGAUAGUUCUGGCAUUGUACUUAUUUGUAGAUUAAAUUCAUCAGGAUAAAGGGGAGGCAGCAGAAUCUGCUGAUAUGAAGGAUCAUGAGGUCCUAGAAAAGUGUCGUUUGCAGUUGUAGAGGUCAUAGGACAAGAAAUGACUGCACGGUUUCCCUGCCAUUGCAUCUGCAUCACAUAACUCCCUCCCUGAAAGACAUGAACAUUCAGGUUGGUCUUCCUAACUCUGUGUACAUACUAAAUGGAACAGAGAAAGUAAUACCUGUUGUGCAACGCCACAUCCAUCAUAGGGGGUAGCAUAGAUAAGACCACCAUAAGUGGGUAUGGUAGAUCCACAGUUAGGCGGCAACUCACUGAGGGGAACAGCUGCCCCAUUACC